UACGUAGGGUGCGAGCGUUGUCCGGAAUUACUGGGCGUAAAGAGCUCGUAGGUGGUUUGUCGCGUUGUCCGUGAAAACUCACAACUCAAUUGUGGGCGUGCGGGCGAUACGGGCAGACUGGAGUACUGCAGGGGAGACUGGAAUUCCUGGUGUAGCGGUGGAAUGCGCAGAUAUCAGGAGGAACACCGGUGGCGAAGGCGGUUCUCUGGGCAUGACCUGACGCUGAGGAGCGAAAGUGUGGGGAGCGAACAGG
rnacentral:rRNA from 1 species